GGGGAUAUGGUGAAAUAAGUAAACACGCUGGUCUCAAAAACCAGUGCCGCAAGGCUUCCCGGUUCGAUUCCGGGUAUCCCUACCA
rnacentral:tRNA from 1 species